UACGGAGGAUCCGAGCGUUAUCCGGAUUUAUUGGGUUUAAAGGGUGCGCAGGCGGGCUGUUAAGCCGGCGGUAAAAAUUCAGGGCUCAACCCUGUCGAGCCGUCGGAACUGGCAGUCUUGAGUGCGCGGAAGGCAGGCGGAAUUCGUGGUGUAGCGGUGAAAUGCUUAGAUAUCGCGCAGAACCCCGAUUGCGAAGGCAGCCUGCCGGCCCCACACUGACGCUGAGGCACGAAAGCGUGGGUAUCGAACAGG
rnacentral:rRNA from 1 species